AUUGCACAAUGGGCGCAAGCCUGAUGCAGCCAUGCCGCGUGUGUGAAGAAAGGCCUUNCGGGUUGUAAAAGCACUUUUAAGCUAGGGAGGGAAAGGCGAUCGUUACCUUAAAUACCGUGAGGUGUAUUGAACGUUACCUCGGCCAGAAGAAAGCACCGGUUCCCCCUUC
rnacentral:rRNA from 1 species